GACGAACGCUGGCGGCGUGCUUAACACAUGCAAGUCGAACGGAAAGGUCCUGCGCUUGUGGGGUGCUCGAUUGGCGAACGGGUGAGAAACACGUGAGGAACCUGCCCUUGACUGUGGGAGAACUUCAGGAAACUGGGGCGAAUAUCGGAUAUGAGCUCCUGCUGCAUGGUGGGGGUUGGAAAGUGUCGGCGGUUGGGGAUGGACUCGCGGCUUACCCGCUUGUUGGUGGGGUAGUGGCUUACCAGGGCUUUGACGGGUAGCCGGCCUGAGAGGGUGACCGGCGACAUUGGGACUGAGGUACGCCCCAGUCUCGUACGGGAGGCAGCAGUGGGAAAUAUUGCACAAUGAGCGGAAGCCUGAUGCAGCAACGUCGCGUGCGGGAUGACGGCCUUCGGGUUGUAAACCGCUUUCGCAUGUGACGAAGCGUGAGUGACGGUAAUGGGUAAAGAAGCACCGGCUAACUACGUG
rnacentral:rRNA from 1 species